rnacentral:rRNA from 1 species
UACGUAGGGUGCAAGCGUUGUCCGGAAUUAUUGGGCGUAAAGAGCUCGUAGGCGGCUUGUCGCGUCUGCUGUGAAAACCCGAGGCUCAACCUCGGGCCUGCAGUGGGUACGGGCAGACUAGAGUGCGGUAGGGGAGAAUGGAAUUCCCGGUGUAGCGGUGAAAUGCGCAGAUAUCGGGAGGAACACCGGUGGCGAAGGCGGUUCUCUGGGCCUUACCUGACGCUGAGGAGCGAAAGCGUGGGGAGCGAACAGG